rnacentral:sRNA from 1 species
UGAUUUUGAAGAACAAGACGGAGAAAACGAUGAUGAAGACGACGAAGAAGAUUGGUGUUUCGUUGAUCCAGCUGUUAAUUCCGAUGAUAA